UUGACCUCAAAUCAGGUAGGACUACCCGCUGAACUUAAGCAUAUCAAUAAGCGGAGGAAAAGAAACUAACAAGGAUUCCCCUAGUAACUGCGAGUGAAGCGGGAAAAGCUCAAAUUUGAAAUCUGGCGGUCUUUUGACCGUCCGAGUUGUAAUCUAGAGAAGUGUUACCUGUG
rnacentral:rRNA from 1 species